rnacentral:rRNA from 1 species
GUCUACGGCCAUGCUACCCUGAACAAGCCUGAUCCCGUCUGAUCUUGGAAGCUAAGCAGGGUCGGGCCCGGUUAGUACUUGGAUGGGAGACCACCUAGGAAAACCAGGUGCUGUAGGCA